rnacentral:misc_RNA from 1 species
UAUAGUACACCCUUUCACCGAAUAGUUUCUUCACUAGCGAUACGUACGACACAUCGAUCGCGUACCAAACAAUCUCGCUGUUGCACUUGAAAGUGUUGAGAAGAUAUUUAGUAACACGACACCGGCGUUAAAUGCACACAAUCACGUUCAUAAGACACCGGACAGUUGUGUCAGACAACGCUGGCGUGUAUACAUGGCGUGGUCGAACAUGCGAUCAGAGAUUUUUCCUCUUUUUUAUUACGAGACAAGCAUGAAUUCCCUAUGGUACAACGAUAAACGUAUUAUCGUGUUCGAACGUUUGACGUCCACGUGCACGUGUCUAUCAUCGCUUCGUGUCUAAAACGAACUCUGCGAUCGGCAGUUGUAAUCGUGGCAAAAGGACUGCAAGAAACAGUGCCUUUAUUUCUCUUGGAAAAAUAGGAAGGAAACGAAA